AGUUGCUGGUGUUGUCUUUGAUAUGUUGCUGAUGUUCUUUGCCAUUUAUCUAAUUUGGUUGUCAUAUCUAAGCAAAAACACUUUGAGAACCAUGUGUAGACAAACUGUAUUGUACUUAUCUUAAUCUAGUUUAUAAAAAAGCAGGAUCAAUGAACAUGAAAGUUAUGAUUGGUUGUAUUAUGUUAUUAAAUUUAUAUUGGUUGU